rnacentral:lncRNA from 12 species
AUUCUGGUUCUUCAUCUUCCUCAGAAGAGGAGAGGCCCAAGAGGUCGAACGUGAAGAACGGGGAGGUGGGCCGGCGCCGCCGGCACUCGCACUCGCGCAGCCCCUCGCCCUCGCCGCGCCGGCGCCAGAAGGAUUCCUCCCCUCGCAGGAGGAGGAGGAGCCCCUCGCCGCCCCCCGCGCGCCGGCGCCGCUCCCCUUCCCCGGCGCCGCCGCCCCGGCCCCCCCCCCCCCCCCCCCCCCCCCCCCCCCCCCCCCCCCCCCCCCCCCCCCCCCCCCCCCCCCCCCCCCCCCCCCCCCCCCCCCCCCCCGCCGCCCCGGCGCCGCCGCUCGCCGUCCCCGCCCCGCCGCAGGUACCGACCGCAGCGACCAUCGCUGCUGCUCCGGGCGUGGGCAGAGGGCCCUGCUCCCAGCUCCUCACUGGGAAGCUGAGGGGGCUGUGUUGUGCUGUGAGGUUGGCUGUGGUGGGUGCACGGUCUGCACGUCAUUGGGUUGCUGCUGCAAAUUCGGAAUCACAGAACCGUGGGAUGAGUUGGGUUGGGUUGGGUUGGGUUGGGAGGGACCUUAAAGAUCAUCAGGGACACCUUCCACUAGCCCACAUUCUUGGUGGGUGCACGGUCUGCAUGUCAUUGGGUUGCUGCUGCAAAUUCGGAAUCACAGAACCGUGGGAUGAGUUGGGUUGGGUUGGGUUGGGUUGGGAGGGACCUUAAAGAUCAUCAGGGACACCUUCCACUAGCCCACAUUGCUCCAGGCCUUGUCCAGCUUGGACACUUCCAGGGAUGGGACAACCACAACCUUUCUGGGUAACAACUUUUAAACAGUUUUAUUUUAAACUCUUAAAACUUCUAAGGAAUUCUAGUUAAAUUUUUGGGACUUUCAAGAACGCUAGAGUCCUUUUCCCCCUCUUUGGGUGCACUGACUGCCAUGCCUGGGAACGUGUCCUGAAUGUUUGUUCUCUUUGCAGGUCUCCAUCUCCCCCCCCGCGCAGACGUUCUCCCUCCCCACGGAGAUACUCCCCCCCGAUCCAGAGGAGAUAUUCCCCAUCUCCCCCUCCCAAAAGGAGAACAGCCUCUCCUCCUCCCCCUCCCAAAAGAAGGGCCUCCCCUUCCCCCCAGUCCAAGCGCAGAGUCUCCCACUCCCCACCGCCAAAACAGAGGAGCUCCCCGACCGCGAAGCGGCGCUCCCCUUCCGAAUCUUCCAAGCACAGGAAGGGGUCUCCUCCCAGCAGAUCCAACAGGGAAACACGUUCUCCACCCCAAAACAAAAGGCAUUCACCUUCACCACGGCCUCGAGCUUCCCACCCCUCGUCCAGCCCCGCGCCGCCGCGCCGCCCCCCCCCCCCCCCCCCCCCCCCCCCCCCCCCCCCCCCCCCCCCCCCCCCCUCGUCCAGCCCCGCGCCGCCGCGCCGGGGAGCGUCGGCGUCGCCGCAGAGGAGACAGUCGCCCUCCCCCAGCAGCCGGCCCAUCAGGAGGGUGUCCAGAACACCAGAACCCAAGAAAACAAAGGCUUCCACCCCCAGCCCCCGGCGCGUGUCCUCGUCCCGCUCUGCGUCAGGCUCACCUGAGACAGCUCCCAAAAAGCACCAAGGACCUGCAUCUCCUGCCCGCUCUCGCUCUCCUUCUGCAAACUGGUCACCUGCAAAAAAGGCCAAGAGCCCAACUCAGAGCCCAUCACCUGCCAGGAACUCAGAUCAAGAAGGUGGUGGCAAGAAGAAGAAGAAAAAGAAGGAUAAGAAGCAUAAAAAGGAUAAAAAGCACAAGAAACACAAAAAGCAUAAGAAGGAGAAGGCAGCAGCAGCUGCAGCAGCUGCUGCUGUGGCUGCAGCAGACACCACCUCAGCACAGGGAGAGCAGGAAACAGAGACAGAACCCAAAAAGGAGACAGAAAGUGAACCUGAGGACAACCUGGAUGACCUAGAAAAGCACCUGAGGGAGAAGGCCCUGAGGUCCAUGAGGAAGGCGCAGGGCAGUUUCCAUGAUCAGCAAUCCCAGAAAAAAAAAAUAAUUCCUUCAGUUCCAUAAAUUUUGUUUGUGAGCUGUCGUUGCCCCAUUCAUAAAUCUUGUCUCGUUACGGUUCUUCAGAAUGGUCUGAGCAACUUUCAGAGCUGUGUUCUUUGAAAGUUUAGAGGAACCUGAACUUUGGAUAUUGUCAUGUUUUCACUGUUCUUUGUUUUUGUUUUUUUAACUAAAGCUAUAUAAAGCUUGUGGAUUAAACAAAAUAAAUUUCUAAAUUUAAACAGAUGUUGGCUAUUU